UACGAAGGGGGCGAGCGUUGUUCGGAAUUACUGGGCGUAAAGCGCGCGCAGGCGGUCUUCCAAGUCAGUGGUGAAAGCCCGGAGCUCAACUCCGGAACUGCCAUUGAAACUGUUGGACUUGAGUACGAGAGAGGUGAGUGGAAUUCCCAGUGUAGAGGUGAAAUUCGUAGAUAUUGGGAAGAACACCGGUGGCGAAGGUGGCUCACUGGCUCGUAACUGACGCUCAGGCGCGACAGCGUGGGGAUCAAACAGG
rnacentral:rRNA from 1 species